rnacentral:rRNA from 1 species
GGGGAUUGCCUCAGUAACGGCGAGUGAAGCGGCAACAGCUCAAAUUUUAAAGCUGGCGUCUUCGACGCCCGCGUUGUAAUUUGGAGAGGCAUCUUCGGUUUGGGCGCCAGCCUAUGUUCCUUGGAACAGGACGUCACAGAGGGUGAGAAUCCCGUGCUUGGCUGGCUGUCCCUUGCCAUGUGAAGUGCCUUCGACGAGUCGAGUUGUUUGGGAAUGCAGCUCAAAAUGGGUGGUAAAUUCCAUCUAAAGCUAAAUAUUGGCGGGAGACCGAUAGCGCACAAGUAGAGUGAUCGAAAGAUGAAAAGCACUUUGAAAAUAGAGUUAAAAAGUACGUGAAAUUGUUGAAAGGGAAGCGCUUGAGACCAGACUCGGCCGGAGAUGAUCAGCCGUCCUUCUGGGCGGUGCACUUGUCUCCGGUCGGGCCAGCAUCGGUUGAGACGGCGGGAUAAAGGCCCGGGGAAUGUGGCUCCUUUCGGGGAGUGUUAUAGCCCCGGACGCAAUGCCGCCAGCCUCGACCGAGGACCGCGCUUUUUGCUAGGAUGCUGGCGUAAUGGUCUUCAGCGACCCGUCUUGAAACACGGACCAAGGAGUCUAACAUCUAUGCGAGUGUUUGGGUGUCAAACCCUUGCGCGUAAUGAAAGUGAACGGAGGUGGGAACCCCCUCGCGGGGCGCACCAUCGACCGGUCCUGAUGUCUUCGGAUGGAUCUGAGUAGGAGCAUAGCUGUUGGGACCCGAAAGAUGGUGAACUAUGCCUGAAUAGGGUGAAGCCAGAGGAAACUCUGGUGGAGGCUCGCAGCGGUUCUGACGUGCAAAUCGAUCGUCAAAUUUGGGUAUAGGGGCGAAAGACUAAU